AAUGCGCAGAUAUCAGGAGGAACACCGAUGGCGAAGGCAGAUCUCUGGGCCGUAACUGACGCUGAGGAGCGAAAGGGUGGGGAGCAAACAGGCUUAGAUACCUGGUAGUCCACCCGUAAACGUUGGGAACUAGUUGUGGGGUCCUUUCCACGGAUUCCGUGACGCAGCUAACGCAUUAAGUUCCCCGCCUGGGGAGUACGGCCGCAAGGCUAAAACUCAAAGGAAUUGACGGGGACCCGCACAAGCGGCGGAGCAUGCGGAUUAAUUCGAUGCAACGCGAAGAACCUUACCAAGGCUUGACAUACACGAGAACGGGCCAGAAAUGGUCAACUCUUUGGACACUCGUGAACAGGUGGUGCAUGGUUGUCGUCAGCUCGUGUCGUGAGAUGUUGGGUUAAGUCCCGCAACGAGCGCAACCCUCGUUCUAUGUUGCCAGCACGUAAUGGUGGGAACUCAUGGGAUACUGCCGGGGUCAACUCGGAGGAAGGUGGGGAUGACGUCAAAUCAUCAUGCCCCUUAUGUCUUGGGCUUCACGCAUGCUACAAUGGCCGGUACAAUGGGCUGCAAUACCGUGAGGUGGAGCGAAUCCCAAAAAGCCGGUCCCAGUUCGGAUUGAGGUCUGCAACUCGACCUCAUGAAGUCGGAGUCGCUAGUAAUCGCAGAUCAGCAACGCUGCGGUGAAUACGUUCCCGGGUCUUGUACACACCGCCCGUCAAGUCAUGAAAGUCGGUAACACCUGAAGCCGGUGGCACGUAGAUCUUGCACUCGUGGCUGGAAGACUAACGACUAUGAUGCGGACCGCCCCC
rnacentral:rRNA from 1 species